ensembl:lncRNA
AGCAGUAUAAAUGCUGAGCAGGAACUCCAGAAGAUGAAAACUUCUCUCCAGAGCAUGCCCUUUGUCUAGCCCUGCCUAGCUCAGUUUAUUGAAGCCUUUUGGGGUUCUGUAUAGUUGUUAUCUUCAUUAAGUGGAAGUAUUGUUGACUAACACUGUUGUUUGAUUGUUACCCUUUUGGAAGCUGUAGGGAGGUGGGUGCCUUUUUCUUUUGUCCUGUACAUGGUUUUCUCCUGGUUUGAGGAUUAGAUAGGGAGUGAGUGUAUAAUUUUGUUGUUGAUUUUAUUUUCAUUUGACAGGUUUAGAAAGAUUCUAACCCCCAGAAUAGAAACACGUUUGUUUGUUGUUUUGGCAUUGAUCCCCCUCCUGAAGUUUUUGCUUCCUUUCUUAAUUUUAUAUUUCUUUGUUCAAGAAUUAUGUAUACUCCCUGCAUUCCCUGAGCUGUUAAUAAACCCUUUUAACAGGGAUGUUGUUGCUAUGCGGUGGCAGGGGGCUUGGGUAAAUGCUCUUUGUAAAUCCUUAAUAUUGUUACGUUACAUUCCAACCCCUAGACCUAAUGACUAUAAGACCUUCUGGGGGAGGACGCCAACGCCUGUUCACACAACAGCAGGAACUUGCCGUUGUGGACCUAGUGAGAGCAGACAAUGCCAUCCGUCUCCACCAGCUACAACAGAAAAUACUUGCAGACAGGCAAGUGUUCAACAACAUAAACCAUGUGAGCAUCACCACAAUCAGACACAUCUUGGGAAAACACAACAUCACCAUGAAGCAGCUCUACAGGGUCCCAUUUGAGAGGAACAGUGUCAGGGUCAAAGGACUUCGAGCUGAAUUUGUAUGGGACUGAGAGACGACACCAUGGUGGAGGAAGGGG